rnacentral:sRNA from 1 species
CGCGCGCGCCCCCGCCGCCCGCGCCGCAGUCCGCAUCCACCCGGCGCGGUCAGCCCCGGCUGCGGCUCCCGCUUCGAGCUCCGCGCUUCUCUCCCGAGCCGGAUCGCGGGAGCGAGCAGGGGAGGGGACCGCAGCCGGCGCCCGAGGGCAGGAGGAGUCCGCAGGCGGGCCGCUGGCUGCGGUAGCAGCUGCCGGUGGCCGGGAGGUGCCAGCCCGCGCGGGGUGGCCCAGCCGCGGGAGCGGUGGGGCGGGGGCCGCGGCCGCCGGCCCCAGGGAGAGCUCUCGGGCAGCAUGGCGGGGCUGCGGGCCAGGCGGGGCCCGGGGCCGGGGCUGCUGGCGCUCUCCGCGCUCGGCUUCUGCCUCAUGCUGCAAGUCAGCGCUAAGAGGCCCCCCAAGACCCCCCCCUGCCCGCCCAGCUGCUCUUGCACCAGGGACACCGCCUUCUGCGUGGACUCAAAGGCAGUGCCCAGGAAUCUGCCCUCGGAGGUCAUCUCCCUCACAGCCCCUGCAGACCCCACAGUACUGACUCGGGUGUCCCCGCAGGACCCUGGUGAAUGCCGCCUUCUCAGAGAUCCAGGAUGGAGCGUUCUCCCACCUCCCGCUGCUGCAAUUCUUGUAUGGAUAGGGCCUUGUGGAAGGGUUGGGGGAACUAUGGGGAUGGUAGCAGGGGACAAAUCCUGGGCUGGGGAGAGGGAGAGUGGACAGAGGCAGCCUCUGGAGACGAAGAUGCAGGUGUCCCUUGCUUUUGUUCUGAUAGGAUGUACCCAAAAGGCGGGGCAGCCUGGAGUCAGGGGAGUCAGGGGCAGCAGGAGGACAGCUAGGGAUGGCACAGAGAAGCCAAGCAGGCGGGAUCCGGGGAUGUGCUUGGCUCCUCUGGAAACCCAAGAGAAUUGGGUGCGAUAGCCUGGGCUAGUGCCCAAGGUGGGCACUGUGGGGCCAUCUUAGAGACAGGUGACCCCAGGAAUCAGGGUUCCCAGAAAGAGCUGGGGGCUGAAAGAAAGGGAUGGCAGGAGUGUCUCCAACUCUACAAGAUGCCGUCCCUGAGGGACAGUUGUCCAUGAGGGGCUGGAGUGGGACAGAAUGAGGGUGGAGGAGAGGGAGAGGAGAUGCCUCCCGGGAGAGCCAGGAGCCGGGUUGACAAGAGAGCUCUGCCUCGGCCCAUGUUUAGGAGCCAACAGGGACCCUGGGAGCUUCUGGGGCCAGAACAGGCUCCUGCCUGGCCUUGUUGCCCAGGUGGCCCAGGGAUUCCCCAUGGGGUCCCCAGGGGUGGCAGCAGGGCAGCCAUGUCUUGGGGAAGCCCAGGGCUGAGGCAGCGGGCUGGGGGCUGGGGCAGCAGGCACACCCUUGGAAGCUCUAAUUCCACCUUUGUCUCUGCAGGUUACUCAACUCCAACAAGUUUACACUGAUUGGAGACAACGCCUUCACAGGACUGUCACACCUGCAGUAUCUGUGUGUGGGAGGGAAAGGGGCAAUGGGAAAGCAGAAGGGAGGGGGACCCCAGGCCUGGGAGGCCGAGGGACUGGGUAGGGAGUGGAUGAGAAUGCCGCAGGAAGGGAAGGUGAUGGGAGGCGAGAGCCCUUGCAUCCCAUGAUGGCAGGACCUGAGCAGAAGGUCGUUUCAUUCGUUUUGCCUCUACCCUACCUGAUGCCCUAUCCCUAUGGCUUGGUGAUGCCAGACUCCAUUUGGAAACCUGUCUCAGGGACAUGGGCUGAAAUCUAGGCUGGGGCAUAGGGCGAGUGCUGCUGGGGGUCUGGCAUCCUGUGUGACCACUGAGGCAAGUUCCCGCUUUCCCCAGCUUCAUUGAGAACAAUGACAUCUGGGCACUAUCCAAGUUCACCUUCCGAGGACUCAAGUCCUUGACUCACCUCUCGCUGGCCAACAAUAACCUGCAGACACUGCCCAGAGACAUCUUCCGGCCCCUGGACAUCCUGAAUGACUUGGACCUGCGGGGCAACUCACUCAACUGUGACUGCAAGGUGAAGUGGUUGGUGGAGUGGCUGGCACACACCAACACCACGGUGGCACCCAUCUACUGCGCCAGUCCGCCCCGCUUCCAGGAGCACAAGGUGCAGGACCUGCCGCUGCGGGAGUUCGACUGCAUCACCACAGAUUUCGUGUUGUACCAGACCCUGUCCUUCCCAGCAGUGUCGGCUGAGCCCUUCCUCUACUCCAGUGACCUCUAUUUGGCUCUGGCCCAGCCAGGAGUCAGUGCCUGCACGAUCCUGAAGUGGGACUAUGUCGAGCGGCAGCUUCGAGACUAUGAUAGAAUCCCAGCCCCCUCUGCAGUACACUGCAAGCCGAUGGUGGUGGACAGCCAGCUGUACGUGGUCGUGGCCCAGCUGUUUGGCGGCUCUUACAUUUACCACUGGGAUCCCAAUACCACGCGCUUCACCAAGCUGCAAGACAUCGACCCGCAGCGCGUGCGCAAGCCUAAUGACCUAGAAGCCUUCCGCAUCGACGGUGACUGGUACUUUGCCGUGGCCGACAGCUCCAAGGCAGGCGCCACCAGCCUCUACCGCUGGCACCAGAAUGGCUUCUACUCUCACCAAGCGCUGCACCCCUGGCACCGUGACACCGACCUGGAGUUUGUGGACGGCGAGGGCAAGCCACGGCUGAUUGUGUCCAGCAGCUCCCAGGCACCCGUCAUCUAUCAGUGGAGUCGCACCCAGAAGCAGUUUGUGGCCCAGGGUGAGGUGACCCAGGUGCCUGAUGCCCAAGCUGUGAAACACUUUCGUGCCGGCCGCGACAGCUACCUGUGCCUCAGCCGCUACAUCGGCGACUCUAAGAUCCUGCGCUGGGAGGGUACCCGCUUCUCGGAGGUGCAGGCCCUGCCCUCCCGGGGCUCGCUGGCCCUGCAGCCCUUCCUUGUGGGUGGCCGCCGCUACCUGGCGCUGGGCAGCGAUUUCUCCUUCACCCAGAUCUACCAGUGGGAUGAGGGACGACAGAAGUUUGUACGGUUCCAGGAGCUGGCUGUGCAGGCUCCUCGGGCCUUCUGCUACAUGCCUGCUGGGGACGCCCAGCUACUCCUGGCCCCCAGCUUCAAGGGACAGACACUGGUGUAUAGACACGUUGUGGUGGAUCUCAGUGCCUAGGGGGGUGCCGAGGCCUCUGGUCUCCCCAGGGUGGCCACUGGAGGAUGGGUGGGGGCCUCUGUGAGCACCACGUACGCCUGUGUGAAGACGCGCGGCCAACCUGCAUUCAUGCCCUUGCAUCCGCACACGCCCGGUGUGCACGGGCGUACCCCGUGGACUGGCCCAGGAGGACAUGCAUCAUCACUGCAAUCAGCAUGAACACCAGGCACCCCUGGGACACCUAACACCCAGUUCCUGUGACCCCAACUGCAGGCCCCCCCUACUCUGCAGCCUUCCCCACGCUCUGCCCCCUGUCUCAUGCACGUGAGUGGUGUGGGGUGCUGGGAGCGAGGGGGGCCGCACCCUCCUGUCCUUGUGCUUCUCCUUCUGCCCCUCUGGUCUUUCCUGUUGAUGCUCCAGGCAUUGUUUACCUGCUCUUGCUCCCCGCUGUAGCCCACAGGCAUAUCUGUCAUGCUUCCCCGGGGGCCACUCACCCCUGCCCCACCCCGUCUGCAUGCUCACAUGGACGCGGACGGACACACUCAGUUACACACUCCCACGCCCUGUCUGCACCCAGUGUCCAUCUAUAAACAUGUCAGGGCACGUGUGCAUACAAGCAGAUUCAGCACUGCCUACCAGGCUCUCCUGUUACCUUGCCUCUCUGCUUGGAGGGGGCCCCCUCUGCUCACCCCCAGCGUGCCCCCCCAGAACUGAUAAGGAUGAGAAUGGUGGUGCCAGCUUCUGAGGGCCUGCUUGGCCUCCUGGGGGCAAAGCCCCUCUGCCCGAAGCAAUAACAACAGCAGCAGAAGCAACCCCGGGGAGCUGCCAGGGGUGUCUGUGUCUGUUCUCCUUGGUGUUUCCUUCAUGGCCCUGAAUCCCAGCUCACCCAUGGACAGAAGACCUCCCCUCAACUGAAAGUCUUUCUGCCUUCCUUCCUGUAGCUGUCGCUUUCUCAGGCUUGGACUGUCCCCUGGUUCACCCUGUCUUUGGGAUGUGGCCCUUGAGCUGGGCGGGCUCCUUGGGUGGAUUAGAGAGCUGGCCGAGCUGCAAGCACCUGAGUUACCUGCGAGGGUGCCCAGAGCGGAGCUUGGCCUGAGGGCAUGUUGCAGCCCUGGCCCUGCCAGUCCACAGAGGCCCCCAGGAGCACUGCCUUUCAGUGGACGGGGUGGGGGCUAGUGGGGCCCGAGCUUCUGCUGCCCUCUGCUGUCUGCUGAGAUGCCAGGCUAGUGGAGAGGGAAUGGGCAGGGGUGGCCCUUCCCUGUGCCCAAAUGGUGUGAUGCUCCUUGUGGCAAGAUAUCAGGGUACUGGGGGGCAAUGCUAUGAUUCACUUGCUUCAAAUAAAAAGUUCCUGCCCCAUAA